UACGGAGGGUGCGAGCGUUGUCCGGAAUCACUGGGCGUAAAGGGCGCGUAGGCGGCGCGGAUAGUCGGCGGUGAAAGCCCGGAGCUCAACUCCGGGUCGGCCGUCGAUACUUCCGGGCUUGAGCACUGUAGAGGCAGAUGGAAUUCCGGGUGUAGCGGUGGAAUGCGUAGAGAUCCGGAAGAACACCGGUGGCGAAGGCGGGUCUCUGGGCAACAACUGACGCUGAGGAGCGAAAGCGUGGGGAGCGAACAGG
rnacentral:rRNA from 1 species